GACGAACGCUGGCGGCGUGCCUAAUACAUGCAAGUAGAACGCUGAAGCUUGGUGCUUGCACCGAGCGGAUGAGUUGCGAACGGGUGAGUAACGCGUAGGUAACCUGCCUGGUAGCGGGGGAUAACUAUUGGAAACGAUAGCUAAUACCGCAUAACAGUAGAUAUCGCAUGAUAUGUGCUUGAAAGGUGCAAUUGCAUCACUACCAGAUGGACCUGCGUUGUAUUAGCUAGUUGGUGAGGUAACGGCUCACCAAGGCAACGAUACAUAGCCGACCUGAGAGGGUGAUCGGCCACACUGGGACUGAGACACGGCCCAGACUCCUACGGGAGGCAGCAGUAGGGAAUCUUCGGCAAUGGACGGAAGUCUGACCGAGCAACGCCGCGUGAGUGAAGAAGGUUUUCGGAUCGUAAAGCUCUGUUGUAAGAGAAGAACGAGUGUGAGAGUGGAAAGUUCACACUGUGACGGUAUCUUACCAGAAAGGGACGGCUAACUACGUGCCAGCAGCCGCGGUAAUACGUAGGUCCCGAGCGUUGUCCGGAUUUAUUGGGCGUAAAGCGAGCGCAGGCGGUUAGAUAAGUCUGAAGUUAAAGGCUGUGGCUUAACCAUAGUACGCUUUGGAAACUGUUUAACUUGAGUGCAAGAGGGGAGAGUGGAAUUCCAUGUGUAGCGGUGAAAUGCGUAGAUAUAUGGAGGAACACCGGUGGCGAAAGCGGCUCUCUGGCUUGUAACUGACGCUGAGGCUCGAAAGCGUGGGGAGCAAACAGG
rnacentral:rRNA from 1 species